UUUAACAUAAAAUGCAGCCAAUCAAAAACAUCUACAAACUCCCCCUUUAGCAAAUUUUUGGCUAAAACAACUUGGUAUCCCAACAGAGUUCACAGCAGCAGAAAGCACACAUCCAAGCAGAGAAUCAAAUUAGCUAAUACACUUAGCAAACAUAGAAGUUAAACCAAACAGCAGCAUCAUAAAUGAAGAUCAAGCAGAGAGCAAACAUCAACAUAACCUCUUGUUUAGAGGACCUUCACUUCAAAGUCUGGUGUCCUGGGGUACAAGUGUUACUCCCC
rnacentral:lncRNA from 1 species